rnacentral:rRNA from 1 species
CUCAGGCCGGAUCAGCCUGAAGGCGCCCGAUCUCGUCUGAUCUCGGAAGCUAAGGCAGGGUCGGGCCUGGUUAGUAUCUUGGAUGGGAGACCACCUGGGAAUCCCGGGUGCUCGAGGCC